rnacentral:rRNA from 1 species
UAGGGAAUAUUGGACAAUGGGCGAAAGCCUGAUCCAGCCAUGCCGCGUGAGUGAUGAAGGCCUUAGGGUUGUAAAGCUCUUUUGUCAGGGAAGAUAAUGACGGUACCUGAAGAAUAAGUUCCGGCUAACUUCGUGCCAGCAGCCGCGGUAAUACGAAGGGAACUAGCGUUGUUCGGAAUCACUGGGCGUAAAGCGCGCGCAGGCGGAUAUACAAGUCAGGGGUGAAAUCCUGAGGCUUAACCUCAGAAUUGCCUUUGAGACUGUGUAUCUGGAGUAUGUGAGGGGAUAGCGGAAUUCCGAAUGUAGAGGUGAAAUUCGUAGAUAUUCGGAGGAACACCGGUGGCGAAGGCGGCUAUCUGGCACAUAACUGACGCUGAGGCGCGAAAGCGUGGGGAUCAAACAGG